GGGUGUUAUCAUCCGAGCAAUAAUGCCCCGAAUCACAUCAGAACCUCGCAGUUAAACGUGCUUGGGCGAGAGUAGUACUGAGAGGGGUGCCCUCCACGGGAUGCCCUCGUGUUGCACCUG
rnacentral:rRNA from 1 species